rnacentral:rRNA from 1 species
CCCAAAAGUCGGGAUGAAUCCUCGCGAGUCUCCCGGUUCCUAUAUUUUCCCUUUGCAAAUACUAGCCACACGGCCGCUUUGAAAGGCGGCCAGGCGCGAGCGAGACAAAGGAAGUGCGAGCGGGUGCGCAGAGCCAGGGUGCAGGUGGCGAGCAAGAAUAGGCGUCCGUUGUUGUGACGAACAGGUGUGUUAGAGGUAGAGGUAUCGAAAAAGAAAUAGAGGGAAGAGAAAAGGGGAGGUCUCGAGCAGACGGAUGGGAGUAGAGAGUGGGCGCGGUGGUGUAGACAUCGAGGCCGCUCGGAGCGGUGGUAGCCUGAGGGGAUUUGAUGAAAAAAGAGGGAGGGGAAGGAUGAGGGGUUGUGGGGAGAGUAGUUACCUCGAUGAUGGUCGGUAGUGGCCCACAAUGGUGCCACUGAUCUAUGUUGCGUGAAUGCCGCCUCAACGUUCGGACGUUGGCCGCGGGGCAAAAUGACCCUCGCACGACGUUGGUCGCGAGCGGCGGUACCGGCGGGCGUCGACCAACGCGAGGAGAGGUACUGGCGGCGUUGUUCUAAAAACGAGGUUGGUACAAAAAAAAACGACCUUGGUUGGGUACAAAAACGAUGGUGGGUGAGUGGAGUUUAGACGAUGGUACCACUAAAAAACGACCUUGGUCACUUGGUAAAACGAUGUUGGCAAAACCCAAAACAAUGAUGACCACAAAACACUUAAAAACGAUGUAGGUAGAGGUACUGUAGCGGACAAAAAAGAUCAGCUAAAACGAUGUUGGUACGAAACUAAAACGACCUUUGCUUCUGUUAAAAACGAUGUUAGUAUAAAACUAAAACGACCUUGGCGUCUAUUAAAAACGAUGUAGGUGGUUGUCGCCACAACCAGCUGCCGCCGCUACCGAAAGAAAAAACGACGUUGGCAGAAUCUAAAAACGAUGAUGUCCUCAACGGUAAAACGAUGAUGGUCUCAGAACGAGUUUCGUAGUCCUCAAAACGAUGGUGGGGAAACAAAAACAAAACUAAAACGACCUUGGUCGGAUUUUUAACGAAGUUGGCAGAAAGCUAAAGCGACCUUGGCCGUAAAAAACGAAACGGCCACCACCACUUCCGCCCACUACAAAACGAAGCCGUCGUCGCCGAUCCGGCGCUCGCGGCCGCCGUUCAUCUUCGUCGCUCCCAGGUUUCGUCCCGUCGCCCCCGAUCGCACGCCCUAGGGCGCUCGCCGCCGCCGCGAGCGAAAAAAGAGGGGGAAAAAGGGACACGCCUCCUACUGCUUCCCCCUACGCCCUGUCUAGUCUGCCAGGGCGUGCAGGUCUAGCUCGCCGAGCCCAACCUGGCCGGCUUUGAGCGCGACCACGCGGCCGCGUCUCAUGACCGGCUAUAUUUUCCCUAAAGAAAACCCUCGUGACCGGGGUGCCAAUGAGUGGACGACAAACGCCUACUAUGAGUGAGUUUUGAUAGAACGUCCUGACUCCUUUGUGAGAGACCGAGGUCCCCUCGCCACCGUUCUCUGGCAUUUACCUUAAAAUAAAGCCGUUGUUGAACCCAAGACGGGGUACAAGCGUCACGUCUUAGUCGUCUCAACUCACGAUAAGCCUUACCGGACAUGGAUCGUCCCUCUUAACCUGCGUCCUUCUAAACCCCGGAGAAGAGACGGUAAGUCUACCCGGUACCGAAAGUUAGAUACUCGCCAACCACCUAAUCAGGUUUAUUAUAAUACAAGUAUUAUACGAUAGGUUGAGUCAAAACACCCGGGAUACCUUUAAGGCGUUGAGAGAAACAAAGUUCACUUUUAUGUACGCUUCGUAACUACCAUAUACACUGUUCCACUAACCUUACCGGACGUUUACCUUCCACGAGACGGUCGGCCGCGUUGAAAGUAACUACUUGGUCAAGUAGGCUCUCUACCUAGGGUUUUCUAGGCUCGAAGAAACAUAACGAACCCGGUCAAUAUCAUUUAAAUGAGAAGAAAAUGAAGGUUUCAUUAAGUGCAGUAUCCAGAAGUAUAUUACACCGAAGGUACUCUGAAACCUUACGUGUAUACGUUGAAGCUAUUCACGGGCCAUAUUAUCACGUUACAUGUAUUUGUUGUAGUACUAAUACAAUAUGUUAAGAAAGUGCAUCCUCUCCCAAAACUGCCACUUCGCCGGAGAACUAUUUUACUAGUUGAUGUAACGUAAGGUUGAAGAUACUAAAGGUGAAUCAUGUUUUUCUAGAAGAGGGAAAAGAAAAGUGCUACCCCACAUGUAUAAUGAUCGUAAGUUUGGUG